UUAAGUUUAGAAUUUAGUUGAGCAUUGAUAUUAUGGAAUAAGAUAAAAUUAUUCAGACUGUUUGAAGGUUUUGCUAAACUAACUUAAGCUGACUUUCAUCUUUGGACCAGCAUUUAAUUUUAACUUCCACCAUCAACUAAACUGGGUGUAUCCUUGAUGAAGAUGCCAACAAAAGUUGUUUCCUUCAGAUGAGCCAUAAAAUCCUGAAGUUUGAUGCUCACACAGCCUGACGUGAUGAUCGGGAGAUAACUUCAUCUACUUAACAGACUACAUCUCUACUUUGACAAGUGAUGCCCCCCGUGGCUCGCCGUCCACCUGAGCGAGGCCUCAUACGUCUCCUGACAAAGUGACUAAUCCUCCCAUUUCACAGCUCCAGCCUGCUGCUCCCUGCAAAUGUUCAAAGCUGAGCGUGUGUGUGUGUGUGAUGCGUGACAGGUGGGUGCAUGUCACACAAGUUCAAGGUGUUUUUUUUGUUGUUGUAACAAGCGACUCAGACAGCUGCUGAGCUUUGAGUGAUUAGAGAUAUAACUCCAUCACUGACGCUUCACCUGAGCUACAUCACUUCCUGAUGUCUUGUUGACAGAUUCUUGAAAAUGAGGUUCACCGACACAAGAAAAAGUUUCUCCUUUUGUUCCCUCAGAUUAGAAAGUAAUGUUCCCCUCAACUUUGAAAUUAGCAUGUUAUUUCCGGUGAAUCCACCUCCAGUAUCAGGCCUCAGCUGGUGAUAUAAGCUGAGGAAGGAAUGAUCAUAACUAUAAAUCACUGAACUCUGUUCUUGCUGUGUGUCUGCUAGCACUGAUUGAUUAUGGGAACUACAGUAAGAGAGAGCAGGAUGAUCUUUUUAAAGAAAUGGUUCUCCCUAAAAUUGAUAAAACCCCCAGAGAUGAAGCAAGUACAGGAUCUGUGUGUGUGCAUGUGUGUGUUCUGCUGCUGAAAUGUCAUUUUUCACCUUUUAACCUUUUGAUGUAUUAAGAGUUAGUAAUUGUGCAAUUAUCUUAAUUACAUGUGAACUUUAAUUAUACACUGGACAGAUGAACUUGGUAAAAGUAAAAGGUGUUCAGAACUGAAAUGAAAAGUGUUUUAGUACAACAGCUAGAAACUCGGUGCAUUGCAGUUUUACUCCAGCAUGUUAAAUCAAGGCUAUGUUGGUGAUCUGAUUAAGUCCAAAUUAAAUCCAAAACAACAUUUUUGGAUUUAAUUUCCCUCUUUUUAGAAAUUCUGGUAAAUAUUCAUAAAUAGUUUGGUGCUAUAAAGCAGACUAUUGAAAUAUUAGUCAUAUUUUAACACUUUUCCAGUGAUUUGUGUUGCAUAUUUUACAGUAAAGUUUGGAUUAGAGGUGCACAAUAAAUCAGUCACUAUGGUCACCCCAUGUUUGCCAACUUAACAACUUCUCUGACUAAACACAUUUAUAUUGGCCAAUAAUUUUUAAAGAUUGGUGAUCGGUUAAAGAAUGAGUGAGUUGCUAGUUAACCAAAGAGUGAGUGAGUUAGUUGAAGUCACCGACUUAACAAGACAUACGGAGGCUGAGCGGCCAUAUUUGUGUAUCACAGCAUAUAGUGAUCUUGACUUAAUGUCCAGUCCUGUCCCUAACUGGACCAGGUUCCUACAGUCUGUGUCAGCAUUAUACUAUAAAAUAGAGUCACAAAGGCUGCUUGUGGAAACAUUUGUCAAAAAUAAAAAUGUGGGUCCAUUUAGAGACCCCAUCUUUCUCAUAUUGUAUGUUGUGCUGUUGGUUUAAAGCUCAGAACACGGGACAGUUACUUUAAUAUACAUGUACAACAUGAAUAUUUCCCGUCCUUUACCCCAGUUUCAUUCAUACUGCAGAUUAAUUACUAAUGAUUCUAUGAAUGAUAUGUGAGGUUUUCUUAAACAAGCUUUAGUUGCUGCAAUUUGGCAGAGAAUAGAGUAAAUACCGUGACUAAAGAACAACCAUUAGCCGUCCUCUGGUGACUCCACCACCCUGCAGUGUGCUGCCUGUCUCCACUCUCACUACAUCAGCUGUGGGAUGUAAUUGCAGCAGGCACCAACAAAACAGCCUUGGAGGUGUCCUUCGUGUCUUUGGCCCAAAGCCUCGCGGACUGAGGCGGGGUCCGGGUGAUGCAGACCACCAAACAC